CGCACAUUGCGCCCCUUGGUAUUCCGAGGGGCAUGCCUGUUCGAGCGUCAUUAUGACCAAUCUAGCCUAGCUAGGUGUUGGGCUGCGCGGUUUCGCGGGCCUUAAAACCAGUGGCGGUGCCCUCAGGCUCUACGCGUAGUAACUUUUCUCGCUAUAGGGCCCUGAGGGACGCUGGCCAGCAACCUUCAAUCUUCUUAGGUUGACCUCGGAUCAGGUAGGGAUACCCGCUGAACUUAA
rnacentral:misc_RNA from 1 species